rnacentral:rRNA from 1 species
GACGGAGGGUGCGAGCGUUGUUCGGAAUCACUGGGCGUAAAGCGCGUGUAGGCGGUCUGAUCAGUCGAAUGUGAAAGCCCGAGGCUCAACCUCGGAAGUGCAUUCGAAACUGUCAGGCUUGAGUACGGGAGAGGGUAGUGGAAUUCCUGGUGUAGAGGUGAAAUUCGUAGAUAUCAGGAGGAACACCGGUGGCGAAGGCGGCUACCUGGACCGAUACUGACGCUGAGACGCGAAAGCGUGGGGAG